CCUACGGGAGGCAGCAGUGAGGAAUAUUGGUCAAUGGACGAGAGUCUGAACCAGCCAAGUAGCGUGAAGGAUGACUGCCCUAUGGGUUGUAAACUUCUUUUAUAUGGGAAUAAAAUGUUCCACGUGUGGGAUUUUGUAUGUACCAUAUGAAUAAGGAUCGGCUAACUCCGUGCCAGCAGCCGCGGUAAUACGGAGGAUCCGAGCGUUAUCCGGAUUUAUUGGGUUUAAAGGGAGCGUAGGUGGAUUGUUAAGUCAGUUGUGAAAGUUUGCGGCUCAACCGUAGAAUUGCAGUUGAAACUGGCAGUCUUGAGUACAGUAGAGGUGGGCGGAAUUCGUGGUGUAGCGGUGAAAUGCUUAGAUAUCACGAAGAACUCCGAUUGCGAAGGCAGUUCACUGGACUGCAACUGACGCUGAGGCUCGAAAGUGUGGGUAUCAAACAGGAUUAGAUACCCGGGUAGUC
rnacentral:rRNA from 1 species